rnacentral:misc_RNA from 1 species
GAUGAAGAACGUAGUGAAAUGCGAUAAGUAAUGUGAAUUGCAGAAUCUCGUGAAUCAUUGAAUCUUUGAACGCACAUUGCGCCCUAUGGUAUUCCGUAGGGCAUGCCUGUCUGAGCGUUAGCUCACACCCCUCAAACUACUUUAUUGUUGGUUUGGAUGACUUUGGGAAAGCAUUAUAAAAAAAAAAAAAAUUUUUUUUUCUUAUGCCUCUCAGAAAUCUAUAGGCGGUACGGUUCCAACAAAACCAGAACGUAGUAAUUAAUUUUUAUAUCGUUCGUUUAUAUUUUGGAGGAGCUGUUGGCUUGCCUUUUGAACCCACAUAUUUAUUCUUAGGAAUAACCUCAGAUCAGGUAGGGAUACCCGCUGAACUUAAGCAUAUCAAUAAGCGGAGGA